rnacentral:tRNA from 1 species
ACAUUGGUGGUUCAGUGGUAGAAAGCUUGCCUUCCAUACAGGAGACCAGGUUCAAUUCUCAGCCAGUGUG